rnacentral:rRNA from 1 species
GAUGAACGCUGGCGGCGUGCCUAAUACAUGCAAGUCGAACGAAGAUCUAGCUUGCUAGAUCUUAGUGGCGAACGGGUGAGUAAUACAUAAAUAAUCUGCCCAUAUGACUGGGAUAACUAUUGGAAACGAUAGCUAAUACCGGAUAGGUUGAUCGGAGGCAUCUCUGAUGAAUUAAAGUAGGAUUUCUACACAAAUGGAUGAGUUUAUGGCGCAUUAGUUAGUUGGUGGGGUAACGGCCUACCAAGACGAUGAUGCGUAGCCGACCUGAGAGGGUGACCGGCCACACUGGGACUGAGACACGGCCCAGACUCCUACGGGAGGCAGCAGUAGGGAAUUUUCGGCAAUGGGCGCAAGCCUGACCGAGCAACGCCGCGUGAGUGAUUAAGGCCUUCGGGUUGUAAAGCUCUGUUGUAAGGGAAGAACAUUCAGGAUAGGAAAUGAUCUUAAACUGACGGUACCUUACCAGAAAGCCACGGCUAACUACGUGCCAGCAGCCGCCGCCG